GGCCCAGACUCCUACGGGAGGCAGCAGUGGGGAAUAUUGCGCAAUGGGCGAAAGCCUGACGCAGCGACGCCGCGUGAGGGAUGAAGGUCCUCGGAUCGUAAACCUCUGUCAGGAGGGAAGAACCGCCACGGUGCUAAUCAGCCGUGGUCUGACGGUACCUCCAAAGGAAGCACCGGCUAACUCCGUGCCAGCAGCCGCGGUAAUACGGAGGGUGCGAGCGUUAAUCGGAAUCACUGGGCGUAAAGCGCACGUAGGCUGCUUGGUAAGACAGGGGUGAAAGCCCGCGGCUCAGCCGCGGAAUUGCCUUUGAUACUGCCGAGCUAGAGUCCGGGAGAGGGUAGUGUAAUUCCAGGUGUAGGAGUGAAAUCCGUAGAGAUCUGGAGGAACAUCAGUGGCGAAGGCGACUACCUGGACCGGGACUGACGCUGAGGUGCGAAAGCGUGGGGAGCAAACAGGAUUAAAC
rnacentral:rRNA from 1 species